GCGUAUUGAUUGGUGGGGAAAUAUUGCUGGCAGGGCAUCAGUUGAAGGGCAGUUGUAUUUAUUGCUGUGUGGUGGUUGAUAAGUGGCUGCAUUGUGCCUAUAUAUAAAUAGUUAUCAUUGCAUUUUUGUUCACAUUUUCCUCUUCUGUCUUAGUAAAUAGUCUUUUAUCUCAACUCCCAUGUUCUAUUUUCUUUCUAAUUCUUUCACUCAUUCCACCCUGGGAAAUGGCCAUGUGGCGUUGCAGUGGAAAUGCUAAGUCGUGGCUCAAAGCAGUGACUGAGCCAUUGGUGGGAAAGUAGGGCUAACCCAGGGGAGCUCAGGUGCAUGCAACCAGAAGGUGUGGAGCCAGGAUCUGCCCUUUCCUGUUGGAAAAGGCUUGGUAGGGGAGGAAAGGCUUUCUGUCUGGAGAUCCCUGCAUACCUGAAACCUUGUGAAGACAGGGCAGCAGGAGGAGCAAGGAAGUCCUGGACUCUAUGUAUGCUGUGCUCAGCAACAAUUAAAGCAUCAGUGUGCAUUGCUACUUCAUCAAAAAUCCAGAACAAAGUAUCAUAUGAGCCUCUACAGAGAAAAAUACUUCUAUCUCAGCCAAAAUCAUGACACCACUGAAGUUUAUGUGAUUUUAACUUCUAUUUGUUUGCUGUCUGUCUACAUCAUCAGGAAUUCAUUAACCAUCAAGCAGACCUAAUUUGAGUUUCAGGCACAAUUGAAUACCAACCAGAAAGAAUCUGGCCUUGAUAGUUCCCUUCAAUUUUGUUACACCUGCUCUGAGGAUAUCAAGGGAUACACAUUAAUCUGCUUUUGCACAGAACCAGAUGUUACCUUUUGUAGCAAGUCAUUAAAUUUCAAAGACUACUGAUGGUGUUGAUCUAGGCAGUAAACGUAACACUCUAGAUUCCAUGGAAAGAAAUAAAAGGCAUUACUUCUGGGGUGAAUUACAUGACUUGCUGCUUUUAAAUGGUUGUCUGCAUCUGAACAUUUCAAAUACUGCU
ensembl:lncRNA